AGCAGAGACGGAGGCCACUGGGCACAGGAGAGAUUUGGGAUGGAGAGCUGGUGAGCCUUUCUCUGUUCUCCACAUCUGAAAGUCUGGCUUUAGGCACAAUAUUUAUGAACUUUAGCAAUAUGCACAAAUCAAAUGAGCUGAAAAAUCAGACCAGGCAGAUAAAAGUAAAAUCAUCUUACUGAAAUUCCUGGAAACAACAGUUUCAGCCAUUUGACAUAUAAACUAGAAGAUUUGGUGCCCAGCAUGAAGAAUAGUUCCUUUCAAGUACCUGUAUGUCCUGAAUGUAUUCCUUCCAGUGGGUUCUUGGUCUCGCUGACUUCAAGAAUGAAGCCUUGGACCCUCGUGAUAUGUGCUCACCCUUCUCUGCUCAGCUCUGUGCCUGGGAGGCUGACCUCUACAAACUGCAUCACCAGGCUUCCGCCCUCUGGCUUCCAGAUGGAUUUGGCCAAUGGGCAGCACCAGUGGGAAAGGAGAGGACAGGAGGAGAGACAGGCUGAGGUCAUGUAUUUAUCCCCCUCUUCCCUACCCCAUGACAGUUCUGACAGGCAGCCCCUCCGUUUCUCCAGCUCUCAGCUGAGCUCCAGUAACAAGCUUCCUUCUCUUUCCCCUUUAGGGUUGGGGUGGCAAGAGCCACCACCUGGGUGUCUCACUAUAUCUUGUUGGCUUCCCUAAUCCUGCCUACAUUAAUCAUUUUUUUUAAAUUUCAAACUCUCUUGAUGCUUCCAUUUGUUUCCCGAGGAAUCCUGGCUAAUGGAGCAAGCUUGGACACAUUCCUUCAUUUCACAGGUCCUCAGUUUAUUUAGCUGUAAAAUGAAGGGCCUGAGCAGCCUUUCCCAAAGUGGAUUCUGCACAUCAGUCUCACCAUAUUCCAUUUUGUAUUCUGUGGUCAAAUAUGUUUGGGGAACACUGAAUAUAAUGUCCCCUUUUGGAGAGCCACAAUUUGUGGCACCGUGUCAACAACUCUGAGAGGUCCUGAAGUAGAUACACCUGUUUUACCCUGUUUAGUUCAGCAUUUCCCAAAUAUAGUUAACAAUGGAACCACUGUUUUUUGCUUGUUUGCUUUUGCAGAAAACCCUAAUAACAUAGAGAAAACACCAGAUCAAGUUGGGCCAUGUAUGGCAUUGUCUUAUUCUGUGGAAAGGUAUUCAUUGCAUAUUUUUGAAUAUUUUCUGUUGGCCCCUCAAUCCUGAAGUCUAAAAUUUCCCACCCAUGUGGCUCAGCUUGCUCUAGGCACAAUAAUGGAAUUCUAUUUCUGUGACCUCAAUACAAUGUUGAGCUUCUCUUCUGACCAUGACUUUGUCGUGGUAAAGAAGUAUCCCUCUAAUUAAGAUCAGGAUUGAAAAUAGAAUUCCAGGAAUAGUUGAAUACACAAUACACAUUUACAUACAGCACAAUUGCAUCCAAGCCCCGUGGAGUGUGGUGGUGCAAAGUAAGGUGUGAAUCCCACUGAAACUUUCUGAAAGUGUGUGGUUGUCAUGAACAACACUGACAAAUCUGAGGCCCUCCUUGCUUCCUGUUACAAUAAGUAACUACCUUUUCUUCUUUUUCUUUUGGAGACAGAUUGGAGUGCAGUGGCAUGAUCUCAGCUCACCGUAGCCUUGACCUCCCAGGCUCAAGAGAUCCUCUCACCUCAGCCUCCUGAGUAGCUGGGACUACAGGCACAUACCAAAUGCCCAGAAAAUUUUUUUCUUGUGAGGGCUGGCCUCCCUCCUCCUGUGUCCCUGACAUACAGUGACAGUGCUGCCCUGCAGCUCAGGAUGGAUGCAGUCAAGGACGACAGCGCAUGUCCAAAAAAGCUGUCUGCUGAACAUUUGCCCAGCAGAUUUUAGAAAGAAAGGAAACAUCUUAGUGAUUUUCUUGCCUCCAGAAGAUUCCCUGAUCCAAUCUUUCCUUGGCACAAACUUUUAGUUAUUGUGUUUACAUAUACAUUUUAUAUAUGUGUGGUCAUUAUUGUAUCUGUUUUAUUUGGGGACUUUAUCUUGAUGUGUGUUAUACCUAAUACACUGCAAUAUAAAUUAUGUAAUUAUGUGCUUUUUUUUUUUGAGAUGGAGUCUCGUUCUGUCACCCAUGCUGGAGUGCAGUGGUGUGAUCUCGGCUCACUGCAACCUCCACCUUCUGGGUUCAAGUGAUUCUGCUGCUUCUGCGUCUCAAGUAGCUGGGACUACAGGCGCCUGCCACCACACUCAGCUAAUUUUUUUUUUUUUUUUUUAAGUAGAGGUGGGGCUUCACCAUGUUGGCCAGGCUGCUUUCGAACUCCUGACGUCAGGUGAUCCACCCACCUCAGCCUCACAAAGUCCUGGAUUACAGGCAUGAGCCACCACACCCGCCCUGUGCUUUCAAUAAGUACUUUCUCACUGCUUACUGACUGAUACCCCUAGCUUUUGUAUCAUGAGGAAAAAGAGGCAUAAGAGAAUGAAUCCCUGGCCCCAGUAUCAGUCAGGAUUUAAUCAGAAAACAGAAGUCAUGCUAGGUUUUUGAUGAGUUGGAGAGAGUUGAAAGAGGAAUUAAGGCUUGCACAACCAUUAGAAGGGCUGGGUAAGGAAAGGUCAGACGGUUGCUCUUAGGGCAUCUGAAAUGCAGAGAUCUCAAGAGAAAUUGGGGCUUCUGUUGUGAUCAAGUUGCCCAUAGCAGGUGCUUCUCAGCAGGACCCUGAGAAGCUGAGGCUCUGAGUAACCGCCUGUAGCUGGCACUAAAGAAAAAUGGCUUCUCCUUUUCUGCCUCAGAUGUUUCACGGGGGUGCCUCUCACUGGACAAAUGUAACCUCGAGGCACAUAGGAAAAGAACUGGGUAGUGAGGUUUCUGGUUUUCCUCCAAGAUGGAGAAGAGUGGAGGGCUGGGGAGCAUGAGUCACAAUGAAGUUGAACUAUCAACAGACCACCCAGAAACAAAACCUCCCAUAUAUUAAUGAAAAAUAAAAAAAGCAAACAGCAAUUGAUAAACAAAUGUAUUUAAGUUAUACCAAGGGCAAGAUUGCUCUGUCAAAAAGCAUUUGAUAAUCAGUUAAUUGGUGAGUGUCUGCUAUGCAGAAUUAGAGGCAGUUAUUUUUUUGUUUGUUUGUUUUUGUUUUAGAUUAUUUCUUGCUCAAAACUCACUCAGGUUCCUGGGCUAUAAUACUUGAGCCAGACAGAGCAGCUUUGAUCUCACUGGCAGUUUGUUUAGAAGCCUGAGAUCUGGAGUGGCUUUCUAAAAUCUUCAGCUCUAAAAACCAAUACAGUUUAGUAAAAAUCUAUACAUUUGCUUGCAAUAGUCUCAAGUACAUAGUAAAAUGACAGAAAUGAUUUCAACCAAGAAAUUAGCCAUUUUCUUCCUCUUGAUUUAAGAAGGGAGAAAUAGCUUUGGAGGGAAGUGGCAAUAUUUCUAAAUUUACACACAAAUUCACACCGACAGUAUGCUCCUAAUGGUUGCCACAUUUAGAGCUAACCUGGUUUUCUGAGAUUGAUCUGGGAUGGAAGGAGAAAGAACAGCUAACUGACCGGAAGCUAAACGCCACAAGGCAAAGCCUCUUUGUUAGAAGCUGAAGAUUAUCAUAUUUCUAGGGGAGGCUGGAUGCUUUGGUUAAGAGAGACCUAGUUAUGAAUCCAGCCUUCUAAAGACCUCCAGGGAGAACUCUGCAAGUCUCCUCAGGGCAGGGGUUCUGGGAGUUUCUAGGUUCUUGCAAUUCCUGCAAGCAAACACAUCAACACACAAAAAAGCACUGGGAAUUCAGAGUCCCAGAGAAGGACAUUUGGGUACAUCCCUCAAGGUUAAAAUUUGCUGGAAACUUUGAUAAGAUAUUUGGAUGUGGAGAAGACUGGGGAAGUGUUAAGUAAAGGAAUAUGAAGUUGGGAGUCAAUUAUUCAUUAUUUUCCCUAUUCCUCUCACCCAUUAGCAUCAAUAAUUGAAAAAGAACCAUCCAUGUGUGUAUGGGGAAGGCAGUAGGCUUAGAGGCUGCUAAUAACAAUUUAGUAAAUGAGGCCAAAAAUGGGGCUCUGCAGGCAACAAGCUUGACUGGGUAGAGCCAGGCCACCUCAAAGCUGAGGCUUUAACCACCAUGGCCUGCCAUCUGCAGCACAUGACUCACUGCAUCUUUAAGCAAGACUUUGCCCAAAUAAGUACCUUCCACUUUGGUUCUAUAUUGCUGCCACCAGUGUAACUACUCUGCUGCCUUUCCUAGGGGUGGGGACAAGCUACCUCCUUGAGUUUGAGGCUUGAGCCUACCUUUGUACCUGUGGUCCUUAAGAGGUGCUGUCCUUCUCAUUUAGCUCAUACAAAGUGACUCGGGCAUCCUGCAGCAUCCCUGUACAGGUAUCAGCCCAGUCCACACUGCUAAUUGCACCCAUUUUCUUCAAAGUCCAUCUGUUUACUUAAGCAUGUUGGUGCUCAUGCUCAAUGUGCAAGGUAAUAUAGAUUGAUAUGGAUUCUUUGGGAUUUUUAGUUAAGUGGUUUCUGCUUGUGACAUUCUUUCCUUUUUUCUUUCUUUCUUUCUUUUUUUUGAGACGGAGUCUCUGUCGCCAGGCUGGAGUGCAGUGGCAUGAUCUCAGCUAGGCUCACUGCAACCUCCGUCUCCCGGGUUCAAGCAAUUCUCCUGCCUCAGCCUCCCAUGUAGCUGGGAUUACAGGCGCAUGCCACCAUGCCCAGCUAGUUUUUUUGUAUUUUUUUUUUAGUAGAGACGGGGUUUCACCAUAUUGGUCAGGCUGGUCUUGAACUCCUGACCUUGUGAUCUGCCCGCCUCGGCCUCCCAAAGUGCUGGGAUUACAGGCAUGAGCCACCACGCCUGACCUGCUUGUGACAUUAUUUUCUGCCUUUUAAAUACAAAUAGAAGUAUACAAAAGCAUAUACCUCAGUGCUUCAGGGAGAAAAGUGUGUUAGAUAAAUAGACUACCUGUAAGGAAGACUUAGUAUAAUGACAAGCAUGACUGCUUGGUAUAUUCAGAAUUUUGAUGUGUGACAAAUAAUGUGUGUCAUUCUUUGAAAUAUAAAUGUUAGAGCUUCUUAUGUUAAAAGAAGCCAUCCUAACCAAAUAAUACUCUAGGCUUUCAGUGUACCUAUAAACAUGUUCAUCUGGUGGGAAUUAAGAGAUAUGCCAAAAAACAGAUUUGAAUUUGAGCAAAAGAAUAGCAAUACAUUAACUGCUAUAUUAUAGAGUUUGUAAAGAUUGCUAUAGUGAUUAUCAGUGCUUCACGGUGUCAUUAUUGGCUUCACUAUUAAAGAUAUUGCUGUGAAAAUGAAAAUU
rnacentral:lncRNA from 1 species